ensembl:antisense
ACUUAUGUCGUCUCAAUUAAGCCAUGAUCCUUUAUGAAGAUAAUUAGCUGUAAAACAUCCUGUCACAGGAGAAAAGAAGAGUAAACUCAUUCUUGACUCUUAGAUGGGCAGCAAUAAAGUUCCCAUCCUUCUCAAGCCCUCCUUUUGACUGAUGGCCUUCGCGGGGAGCCUGAGCAAGUAUGAGAUCCCAGAUCAUGCUCUGGCAGCAUCCUCAGUGAGCACUUUCCUUCAGUUCCCUCAACACUCACAUAGCUAGGGCUCUGAGAAAGUCAUGGAAUUCAACAAGUAACUACCCUCCUCGGUCACCCUCAGUGGCACUUUCAGCCUCAAAUGCUCCUUCCAAGCUCACGUCUGUACCUCAGGGAAAGCAUCACUUCAGACUCCACACCUGACCUCUCCUUACUGAAACUUGGUCCUCUGCUUUGGUUCCUGUGGUCACGAGGGAAAGUAGGAGCAUAAAGCGACAUGCACAGAGACCCAGAUAAUGCAGAGAGCUCAAGGUGUGGACAUAAACAUCACAUCACCAAAGGUCACCCUAUACGACCGUCCGCACACGCCCACUCCCAGCCCGCUGGCUCAGGCCUUACUCUAUGGAGACCGAAGCCAACCUGAAAUUUCUUCCGCCGACCAGAAAGAUCGGACCUUCCGCAUUAGCGGCACCAGAACACCAAAAGCCUACGCGCUAGUUUCGGCGCGGUGGCCCUAAAAAAUGCAGUUAUCACCAGCAAAGCCCCCGUGAAGCCCGGCUCUUGGGGGGAGGGGGGGAGGAUGCCAGAUCUGCGAGCGGCGCCCAGUGGCUUGUGGGAGUUCCCACGGGGGUGCGCGCUUAAAGGGGAGGCGCCCUCCUUUGAGCAAGAGGCACUUCCGGUUCUGCGGUUCUGCGGGGAACUGAUUUUCUCGCCCUUAAAAAGGCAGGGAUGCUCUAGAUAGAAAAUGUGACUGAAGACCACAUGCUAUUUAACAACGGUACUGUGUCUGUUAGACAGGCUAGACGAUCCUCGUAAUAAAACUAGUCGCAUUGAAAGUACUGUAAUUGGUCUAAACGCUAAAGUAUAGGUUUGUCACAUUAGAUUUGAAAAGAAGUCCGACCCAGCUAUCUGUUAACUUCAGAAAAUAUGUUAAAGAUAACUCUAGCAGAUUCAAAGUGACCAUCUUCACAUAACCAAAAGAAAACUCGGGUCGAUUAUAAAAUGGAGGUAGAUUAAUAAAGAGGCCAAGUCAUCAAGUGACAGUAAACAUGGCUGGGCGUGGUAGCAAUGGCUUUUAUCCCAGCAAUAGGGAGGCACAGCCAGCUGCAUGUCUGUGAGAAGAGACCACCGAGGACUACCCAGUGAAACCCUGUCUAAGAACUAAAAUACACUCAGAUUAUAGUGGCACAUGCCUUUUACUCUUUUUGUGUCUGAGUUACCUCACUCAGGAUAUUUUCUAGUUGCAUCCAUUUGCCUGCAAAACUCAUGAUGUCCUCAUUCUUAAUAGCUAAAUACUAUCCCAUUAUGUAAAUGACCCACAUUUUCUGUAUCCAUUCUUCCAUUGGGGGACAUCUGGGUUGUUUCCAGCUUCUGGCUUUCACAGAUAAGGCCUCGAUGAACACAGUGGAUUUGUUGUAUGGUGGGGCAUCUUUUGGGUAUAUGCCAAGAGUGGUAUAGCUGGGUCUUCAGGUUGAUCUAUUUCCAAAUUUCUGAGGAUCCUCAAGGUUGAUUUCCAGAGUAGUUGUAUCAGUUUGCAAUCCCACCAACAAUGUCCAAAGGCUCAGGCUCCAAGAUCAAGAAUUGAUACAUGGGACCUCAUAAAACUGAAAGCUUCUGUAAGGCAAAGGACGGAGUCAACAGGACAAAUCAGCAACCUAUAGAGUGGGACAAAACUUCACUAACCCCACAUCCUAUAGAGGGUUAAUAUCCAAAAUAUAUAAAGAACUCAAGAAGUUAAUCACCGAAAAACCAAACAACCCAACCACAAAAUAAGGUAUAGAGCUAAACAGAGAAUUCACAACAGAGGAAUCCCAAAUGACGGAGAAGCACUUAAAGAAAUGUUCAAAGCCCUUAGUGAUCAGGGAAAUGCAAAUCAAAAUGACCCGAGAUUCUACCUUACACCAAUCAGCAUGGCUAAGACAAAAAACUCAGGUGACAGCACUUGUUUCUGCUGCACCUUUGAAACUUAAAGACUGCACCUAUUUUUAAGAUAGCCCAUAGGCUAAUACUAGACAAGGAGUCCCCAGCUAAACCCAGGUGACUGCUUCUGCAAAGCUUCCUGUUUUGUUAUUUCACUGGCUUUUGGAUCAUUUAUAAACAUACUUAGCCUUCUGUC